rnacentral:rRNA from 1 species
UCCGCCUACGGGGGGCAGCAGUAGGGAAGCUUCCACAAUGGGCGAAAGCCUGAUGGAGCAACGCCGUGUGGGUGAAGAAGGUCUUCGGAUCGCAAAACCCUGUUGUUAGAGAAGAAAGUGCGUGAGAGUAACUGUUCACGUUUCGACGGUAUCUAACCAGAAAGCCAUGGCUAACUACGUGCCAGCAGCCGCGGUAAUACGUAGGUGGCAAGCGUUAUCCGGAUUUAUUGGGCGUAAAGG